GUUUUGAGCGCUCAUUUGAAUUUUUAAAAAUAAAUAAAGACAAGUGAGAACUAAUCUUUAGGUAAAAAUUAUUAUUUUUGUUUCAUAUGGAAAACAUAAAUAGUUUCUAUAAUUUGGGAGAAACAUGUGGGCAAGAUAGUUGUUUUGUUCAUUGCUUCCCUCCCUAUUCUAACAUAAGGAUGUGAUCUUUUAAUAGUGCUUGGUGAUUUAUUUCUGGAUAGGCUUUAUGAAAUUCAAUGUAUUGGAAUUUAAUGAUAUUUAUUCUUUGAUUUGAUGUGAAAUUAGAUUGUGAAUGAUGGAAUAAGAUUGUUCUCCAAUUUAUUGCUGUUCUAGCAUAGCCAAAAAUAUAAAGAUAAUAUGUGUACAUAUAAAUGUGUAUUUGAUUAAACAUUUUAGAUAUUUAAAUGGCCAUAUCAAAUUUUAAAUGGUAGAUGAUAUCAACAGUUGCAGUGCACUCAAAAUAAUAGCUCUAAACACCUUUGUAGCACAAAUCCUAAAGCUUAAUACUAAAUAGCAUUUUUCUAUAAAAUACUCAAGUAACAUCAGUCUAGGUUGAGACAUUUAAUCCUUCAUAGAGCUAUAUUUGACUAAGGGGGAAACUGCAGCUAAAAAUAUUUUUUCCUUCCUAUGUGAUUCUUUCAAAGUAUCUCUUAAAGUUACAUAAAGCUAUUUAUCAUUAAUUAAGGAUUUACACUAUACUCAUCUACUUUUACAAAAGCAAGGGAAGAUCUAUUUAUGAAAAUAAGGAAACGCAGCACUACAUUAUUAUUUUUCAAUAUUGGUAUUUUAUCACCAUUUAGAGCUUCAAUAUAUGCCUUUCACUCAGGAUCCUUACACAGCCUAUGUUCUCUUUUCUGGUUGUAAUCACAAUAUGGUAGAGAUAAACACAGUAUAACGGUGUUAACUGAACUGCAGUCCUACCUAUUAUCUACUUUGCUAUACCAGUAAAGUAGUUCAAAUUUAUUUGAAUGUGGUAUUGUUUUCAUCUUACAAAAAUCUACUAUAAUAUUAUGAUGUUCCAUGUAAAUUUUCAUGUGCUGGCAUGCUUACAAGUUAAUAGUGUUAUAGAAUGCUCAGCUCUCAACAUGAGAGAUUGUUUGUGGUGAAUUGCAUUACAUGUCAUCUAUUUGCUGAAAG
rnacentral:lncRNA from 1 species